rnacentral:rRNA from 1 species
AUUGAACGCUGGCGGCAUGCCUUACACAUGCAAGUCGAACGGUAACAGGUCUUCGGAUGCUGACGAGUGGCGAACGGGUGAGUAAUACAUCGGAACGUGCCCGAGAGUGGGGGAUAACGAGGCGAAAGCUUUGCUAAUACCGCAUACGAUCUCAGGAUGAAAGCAGGGGACCGCAAGGCCUUGCGCUCACGGAGCGGCCGAUGGCAGAUUAGGUAGUUGGUGGGAUAAAAGCUUACCAAGCCGACGAUCUGUAGCUGGUCUGAGAGGACGACCAGCCACACUGGGACUGAGAAACGGCCCAGACUCCUACGGGAGGCAGCAGUGGGGAAUUUUGGACAAUGGGCGCAAGCCUGAUCCAGCCAUGCCGCGUGCAGGAUGAAGGCCUUCGGGUUGUAAACUGCUUUUGUACGGAACGAAAAGACUCUGGUUAAUACCUGGGGUCCAUGACGGUACCGUAGAAUAAGCACCGGCUAACUACGUGCCAGCCGCCGCGGUAAUAC